GAUGAACGCUGGCGGCGUGCCUAAUACAUGCAAGUAGAACGCCGAAGGAGGAGCUUGCUCUUCUGGAUGAGUUGCGAACGGGUGAGUAACGCGUAGGUAACCUGCCUGGUAGCGGGGGAUAACUAUUGGAAACGAUAGCUAAUACCGCAUGACAACAGUUAUUGCAUGAUAACUGUUUAAAAGGGGCAACUGCUCCACUACCAGAUGGACCUGCGUUGUAUUAGCUAGUUGGUGAGGUAACGGCUCACCAAGGCGACGAUACAUAGCCGACCUGAGAGGGGGAUCGGCCACACUGGGACUGAGACACGGCCCAGACUCCUACGGGAGGCAGCAGUAGGGAAUCUUCGGCAAUGGACGGAAGUCUGACCGAGCAACGCCGCGUGAGUGAAGAAGGUUUUCGGAUCGUAAAGCUCUGUUGUAAGAGAAGAACGAGUGUGAGAGUGGAAAGUUCACACUGUGACGGUAUCUUACCAGAAAGGGACGGCUAACUACGUG
rnacentral:rRNA from 1 species